UACGUAGGGACCAAGCGUUGUCCGGAUUUAUUGGGCGUAAAGAGCUCGUAGGCGGCCCUCCACGUCGGAUGUGAAAGCUCAGGGCUCAACCCUGGGAUGCCAUUCGAUACGGGAAGGCUAGAGGUAGGUAGGGGAAAGUGGAAUUCCUGGUGUAGCGGUGAAAUGCGUAGAGAUCGGAAAGAACACCAACGGCGAAAGCACUCUGCUGGGCCGACACUGACACUGAGAGACGAAAGCUAGGGGAGCGAAUGGG
rnacentral:rRNA from 1 species